rnacentral:rRNA from 1 species
AGUGGCAGACGGGUGAGUAAUGUAUAGGAAUCUACCUAGUAGUACGGAAUAAUUGUUGGAAACGGCAACUAAUACCGUAUACGCCCUACGGGGGAAAAAUUUAUUGCUAUUAGAUGAGCCUAUAUUAGAUUAGUUAGUUGGUGAGGUAAAGGCUUACCAAGACAAUGAUCUAUAGCUGAUCUGAGAGGAUGAUCAGCCACACUGGAACUGAGAUACGGUCCAGACUCCUACGGGAGGCAGCAGUGGGGAAUAUUGGACAAUGGGCGAAAGCCUGAUCCAGCCAUGCCGCAUGAGUGAAGAAGGCCUUCGGGUUGUAAAGCUCUUUUAGUGAGGAAGAUAAUGACGGUACUCACAGAAGAAGUCCUGGCUAACUCCGUGCCAGCAGCCGCGGUAAUACGGAGAGGGCUAGCGUUAUUCGGAAUCAUUGGGCGUAAAGGGCGCGUAGGCGGGUUAGUAAGUUAAAAGUGAAAUCCCAAGGCUCAACCUUGGAACUGCUUUUAAAACUGCUAGUCUAGAGAUUGAAAGAGGAUAGAGGAAUUCCUAGUGUAGAGAUGAAAUUCGUAAAUAUUAGGAGGAACACCAGUGGCGAAGGCGUCUAUCUGGUUCAAAUCUGACGCUGAGGCGCGAAGGCGUGGGGAGCAAACAGGAUUAGAUACCCUGGUAGUCCACGCUGUAAACGAUGAAUGUUAAAUAUGGGAAGUUUACUUUCUGUAUUAUAGCUAACGCGUUAAACAUUCCGCCUGGGGACUACNGUCGCAAGAUUAAAACUCAAAGGAAUUGACGGGGACCCGCACAAGCGGUGGANCAUGUGGUUUAAUUC